GAAAAUCAUUUUAUUUUCUUCUAUUCUUGAGAAUGUUUAAAGACACGUAAAGAUAGUUUUAUGUCAAGUUUGUCCAUCAUUGGUUUAGAUGGUUACCUUUUGAAAGGUUAAUAUAGAGGUGAAUUGAUAAUUGUAGUAGGGUGGGAUGACACCUUGCUAAAGUUGUCGUUCGCUGUUAUCAAGAGCCUCCUUGAAACUUCUCGGUUCAUCCGUGCUUUUAAGAUCUUCAGCAACAUUUAAGGUGUAGCAAAUUAGGUCAUCCUCUCCAAACCGUUUGGUUGGCUUAGAGAUCAUCCUUUUCUUAUUACGAACAAGCUGAUAGUUCCUUAAUUCAGUAUCAGCUCCUCUUGAGUGAUUAGAAUCAACAGAUGUUCCAUCUGCAUCAUCAUCAAGAUCUGUGAUAGAACUUCUUUACACUUCAUCAGUAGCAUGCUCCACCUCAAUGACCGUCUUACCCUUCUCACUCAGGAUUUUUCGCAUGCGUAGCCAUUAUUGUCUCAUCAAAAAUGAAAUCUCUACUAAUGAUCAAUUUUGAAGGUUUAUCACCCGACCUCCAUAGCCUGUAUCCCUUAAUUCCUUCAGUAUAUCCAGGGAAUACACUUUUCACAGCC
rnacentral:lncRNA from 1 species